UAUUGUGGGCUUCUUCAUAACA
rnacentral:siRNA from 1 species